rnacentral:rRNA from 1 species
UGGCACCUCGAUGUCGGCUCAUCAUAUCCUGGUUGAGAAUAAUCUUCCAAGGGUCGGUCUGUUCUACCGUUAAAAUGGUACGUGAGCUGGGUUUAGAACGUCGUGAGACAGUUUGGUCCCUAUCUGCUGUUAAGUUGAAAAAAGUUAGACCCUUGCCUUAGUACGAGAGGACUGGGAUAGAUUAAUCUAUGGUUGACCAAUUAUAUCAGCAAUGUAAGUUGGUACGCUAAAUUAAGACGAAAUAAUUACUGAAGUCAAUUUAAAGUAAGAAGUUCAUCUAAUUUUUUUUCAUUCAGGUUGGUUAUAGAGUAUGA